CUUUAUGGCAAUCAGUUUCACCAUCACCUGAUCUUGUCAAAUCUCAGAAGGUAAGCAGGGCCAUCUUGGUUAGUGCUUGGGAUGGGAGAGCGUUGGUAAAAUCAGGUGCUAUAGUGC
rnacentral:rRNA from 1 species